AUGCAAAUACAGUGCAUAGCUGGAAUGCACAGGGGAUAGUAUUCCUGUAGACACCGAGUUCUGGAUGAGAGGUAGAGUCCCAACAGAAGGAGGAGACACAAACUGUUUGGAGUCCAAACCUGAGUCAGGAAGUGAAGCUAGAGGGCAUGGCAAGUGAGGAGCCAGUCGUCUAGAUAUAGAAAGAUUGAAGUCCGAAGUGUUUCCAGGUGCUUUGAUGUUGCCGUGGAUGUCUGGACAACCUCCAAAGCCAGGUUUGCAGCCUUAGUAAUGACAGGUAACAUUGAUUAUGACGCCCGUGCCAAGCAUACCGGUUUUUGGCAAGACGGCUUACCAUGUGAAGACUUUCUAGUACAUUCAUUAUGUCAUAUAUACGUCUGCGUUCAACAUCUGGAAAGGAGGACAAUACAGUAAUUAUUUGAUAGAGAAUAUAAGUAAAGUUGCUUCAUUCAUCAGACUGGCUGCACUGAUCAGCAUUUUCAGGUUCGCCGUCGGUGUCCAUGGGUCUCCAGGAGAGAUUUCAUUAGGCUUUGGUGGCGUUGUCAGAUGGCCAAAAGCAGCAGGCUGGAUCUCUGCCAAGAUCCAAUUGGAGGCAGCAGUCUGUUUCAGAGGAGUUUUCACUGUGCUUUCAUGUUCUUCAAAAGACUGAUUUUCCUGAGCCAGAAAAAAGAAACAGUAAAACCCAAAAUCACAGCAGUGUUAGGUAUUAAAACAAUGUCGAAGUAAGGCUGCUGUUACUAUCAUCAACAAUCCAUCAAUAUAAUGUUUAAGCAUACACAGAGUACCUGUUGUCAAAACAUACAUGCUAUUAAUUUCUACUGGGCUUUGGGGAUGGGGGUGUUUAUACUUUAAAGACUGAGCCUUCUUCAUUUUGUUUUAGGGUGGCACUAGAUGCUGCCAAAAAUGGCAGCCCUAUGCCUAGCUCCUUCCUGCUUCUACUCAUAAUACGAGCCAGUUGAACCAGCAUGGUGCAGAAGCCAGUGUGUUAGACUAGGAGUUGGGAGACUCUGGUUCAUAUCCCUGCUCAGCUGUAAAGCUCAAUGAGUGAUCACUCAGGGUCACAUUCAGGAGUGGGGUGGGGUGGGGAUCUGCCUUCUUUGAAGGAAGAGUGGGACACAGGGGGGAAAAAUAAUGUGUAGUAGAACACAUUCUCAGUAUACAACAUUAUGAAUUGUGCUUCACAUGACUGAGGUAGGAAAACUCAUUAACACCAGGAUAUAGGGAAGAUCACUACACAAAUCCACUGCACACAUUUGAAAGUGUCCAAAUUCCACUCAGGGCUGCUGUUUUGGACAAGAGUAAAUGUAAUGCUUAGGUCCACCUUUGGAUUUACAUGUAGUAUUAGCAACAUGUUUAUUGCAAGCCCUGAAGAGGCAUAUAUUAUAGAUAUAAAAAAUGCCUCUCAAUAUGACAGGUGGAGCAAGGAGGGCAUGGAGAUGUUACAUAGAUUCCAGGAAAACGAUCCAAAGAAAGUGAGAAUUUUGCUUGCCCUGCAGAAAGUGCCAACAAUACAGGUCCACGUGAAUUUCUUUCAAGUAAAUGGUGAGCUUCUGUUAGAGAAAAAUCUCAGCAAAAAUCUCAGCAUAAUCUGGUGAUUAUGCAACAGAAUUAGUACUCUGAGAAUCGCCAGAAAGUAUAUUUAAAUACAAUAUAUUUAAAUACACUGCUCCCUACUGACAAGAAGGUUUUGUAUUUAUACUCAUGAUUUGUGUGAGGACUAUAAACUGUUAAGUGUGGUGGGGUAGGUUUGAAUUUGAAAACUGACCAUACAUUUCACAAUUGAGCUCUGGGGAAUAAGAACAAGAACCAGUUCUGCAAGCUUGCAUCAGAAACAAGUGAUAUAUGGGAAUUGGCUGGCACCUGUACUUUCACCAGAAUAUCCCUGCAAGUCUCAACCUGUUUUAAAAGGUUAAAUAUAGAAUACGAGUAGGUGAGGCCUGUUGUUGACUGGACAAAGUCAUUUUGCAUGGAUUACACUGGAUAUAUAUUUUUAAAUUUAUAUAUAAAUUAAUGUGCUUGGAAAAGGGAGGUAUUUCAUAUUGGUAGGAUUUCGGCUUCAAAUAUUCAUUUAACUGAAUAAUUACCAUAUACAGUAAAUUUGAAUCUCAAAAAGAUCUGCUUCUCUUGGGCAAGAUGGUGUUUUUGAAUUACUGAUCUGAUUGACUGUUAAAAAUCUGUUGAGGGCAACAGUUAAAAUCUAUUGAUUAUAUUCAGAAUUUAUUCUAAAUAAUACAAAUAAAAUUAUUUAAAUCCUUCCUCUAGCACAUUCCAGUGUGAAACAUAGUACAUUUUGCUAAUUUCAGUGGCAGGAUUGUUCAUGCGAAAUUUGGUAUCUGUAGGUCAUCAGGAAGUACAAAUUUAUUUUGCACAAACAUAAAUACAUUUAUUAUAUAUUUCAAAGAAUUGUUUGCAUCUGUCUUGAAAAUCUGAAGCCAGAUUUGCAAGUCCACUGUGACCCUUGCUAACCGGUGGCAGCUUUUAAAAGUGGUGAUUCUCUUUAUUUAGCAGUGGGAGAGCUACUGGCCCUAUCCAUGCCCAGCACAGCAUCCCUCCUGUGGCUGUUGCUGGUGUCCAUCUUAUGUUUCUUUUUCAGAUUAUGAGCCAUCUAUGUAAAUCACUUUGGGAACCGUUGCGGAAAAGUGGUAUAUAGAUACUAUUCAUAUUCUUUUCUUGGGUUACUUUUGCCUUCACCCCAGGGCUGCAAUACUAAAACAUGCUUUCUGGAGAGUAAAUCCAACUAAACUCAGUGAGGCUUACUUCUGAGUAAACAUGCUAAGGAUUGCUCUAUGACAGUGUAUUUUGAUAGUGCUAUUAGUUAUAAUCAAAACUAGAUUUUUAUACUUAAUUAUAGGUAGAUAUGUUUCAACAGAAGUAAUACAGACCACAUUUUCAUUGGUUGUUUUUGUUCAUUGUGUGCAUUUCUAUAUCGCAGUUUACUGUACUGAGUUAGAGUCGCACUCUCUCAUUUAUUUAUUUAAAAUAUUUAUAUGCUGCCAUUCUUCAAAAAUGAGUUCAUGGUGGCUUACAAAAGAAUUUAUUUUAAACACACAGUAAGAACAGUAGAACACAACCUCUAAAAUAAUAGAAAUGCAGGAUAAGGAAAUCAUUAAAAAGGACAGUCACAGAGAAAUGAACGGAGUGAAAAGACAACCAGCUGGAAUAAACAAGUCUUUAAUUUUAAACAAAAGUUGAACAGGGAGGGGGCAAGCCUAAGAGCAAGUGGCAGAGAGUUCCUGUAUGAAUUUGCUAUCCAUAUUGCACAGACUGGUAUGCUUCCUUGUGGGACAAACCCCACUCACACCUCAUGAUGCCCUGGAAUCACACUCAGAGAGGGGGAAUCACAGCUGGGGCUUUGUUUCUAUUACUUCAGGAUGGAUGCCCCCCCCCCGCCCCCACCACUUCCUCCACCACCCUGUCAAAUGAGACUUAUUACCAUAUACAUGUAGAAAGCAAGGUGUGAUCUCUAAUGAGGUACAUUUUUCCAGAUGACUUGUUUUAUAUAAAGAAGACUGAAGUAAAAGCAAUUUGUAAAAGCAACAAGACAGCAAAUUAAAAGAGCAAUGAGAGAAUAUAACCUGUAAUCCUCAAUCAAAGCACAAUGAUGGAAUAUACCCUGUGAACCGCCGCCAUUUACUCUGGGGUUACCUCAGCCGUUCUUGACCACUAUAGCCUCAUAUGCAGUCUUCUUUGGCCUAUAUAUGCAACAUAUUUUCAGCAACAAGGACCCAAAAUUAAUGCAUUUAAAUAAGGGAUAAUAAAAUGCAAGCUUGAACAGCUUUAGAUAAAUUACCUUGUCUUCAGUAUUCAUUUUGCUACUGUAAACCUUUCUCUCAUUCAUAUUUGCUGCAAUUGUGAUGCUUCAUUUAGAUCUUGCAAGAGCUGCAUUGGUUACGUAACAUUGUGAGCAUUCUGAGAGGGGGAAAGAAAAGUCAUCUUGGAAGUGAAAUGUGUCAACACCUCAGGAAAUUAAUAAAGAUGAUAGAAAAGACAGCAAUCUAAGUUUAUUAAAAUGCUGAAAUGGACUUGGAGAACACAAGCUGUGUUGCACUAGUGCAAAACCCCUUCAGUGAAAGGCCUUAGGUCUUUUAACAAUGUGUAGCACCGCUAUAAGCAUGCUACUCAGAAGUAAUCCUCAGAGUUUUAAAUGAUUCCCCAGUAAAUAUGCUUACAGUUUCAGGACUGUGGGGAGUUUUCUCACUUUCUGUAAUGAAAGAAAAAACUCCACUGUUAGGAGUGCUCAUUUGCACAUGCUCUUAUCACACUGAAUUCUGUUUCAGUCUCCCUGCCUUCAAUCCUGUACGAUUUUCUAUAAAGUUAAAUACAUUGACACUUCUUUCUCCUGCAGUUGCUGACUCGUGGUUUUUUUUAAAGAUUCUUAAAUAUUGCUGAAUUUGCAUUCACUCUUUAAAUGAACUUGAUGUGGUUUGCUGUGGAAUAGAGGCAUCAAACUGAGAUUAUGAAGUUGCCAAGUUAGCUUCUGAGAAAAAGAAAUCUAGGAAACCCGUACAUUGGUAAAACUGGUAACAUGGCACAAGAGAGCAAAGGUGCAAACUCAGCAGUUCUGUUUUUUUAAUGGCAGGUCAGGGAGAAAAAUGCUUAAGUAACAAAGGAAGAGUGGUGGGACAAUGACUGGAAAGAGCAGUGUAACACUUCUGUUGGGAGGUUUGUAACACCUUAAUAAAGUACAAGUUUUCCUAUUGCCUUUCCCCCCUCGUUAUGUGGCAGAUCAAAAGGCAACAGCAGCAGAUUGAACAAGUAACUGCUACUCUGGGCAACCUUCAGCGUUUUAAGAACCAAGUCAAUGAAUAUAGUUUCCUGACAACCCAGUCCAAAGGAGAUUGCCAUUCUCUUUGUGUACUGUUUUUAUGCUUGUGUUUUAAAUUUUUUAUCAAAUUUGUUUUAUAUUUUUAGCUUAAUAUUUUAAAUGUGUCAUUUUUACAAUCUUGUUUUUAAAUUCUGCUGUAAACCGCCUUGGGAUUGAUUUACUGAAAGGUGGUAUAUAAAUUUAACAAUAAAUAAAAAUAACAUACAGCCAU